rnacentral:rRNA from 1 species
UGCAAGUCGAACGGCAGCACAGUAAGAGCUUGCUCUUAUGGGUGGCGAGUGGCGGACGGGUGAGGAAUACAUCGGAAUCUACCUUUUCGUGGGGGAUAACGUAGGGAAACUUACGCUAAUACCGCAUACGACCUUCGGGUGAAAGCAGGGGACCUUCGGGCCUUGCGCGGAUAGAUGAGCCGAUGUCGGAUUAGCUAGUUGGCGGGGUAAAGGCCCACCAAGGCGACGAUCCGUAGCUGGUCUGAGAGGAUGAUCAGCCACACUGGAACUGAGACACGGUCCAGACUCCUACGGGAGGCAGCAGUGGGGAAUAUUGGACAAUGGGCGCAAGCCUGAUCCAGCCAUACCGCGUGGGUGAAGAAGGCCUUCGGGUUGUAAAGCCCUUUUGUUGGGAAAGAAAAGCAGUCGGCUAAUACCCGGUUGUUCUGACGGUACCCAAAGAAUAAGCACCGGCUAACUUCGUGCCAGCAGCCGCGGUAAUACGAAGGGUGCAAGCGUUACUCGGAAUUACUGGGCGUAAAGCGUGCGUAGGUGGUUGUUUAAGUCUGUUGUGAAAGCCCUGGGCUCAACCUGGGAAUUGCAGUGGAUACUGGGCGACUAGAGUGUGGUAGAGGGUAGUGGAAUUCCCGGUGUAGCAGUGAAAUGCGUAGAGAUCGGGAGGAACAUCCAUGGCGAAGGCAGCUACCUGGACCAACACUGACACUGAGGCACG